UCCCAGACUCCUACGGGAGGCAGCAGUCGGGAAUAUUGCACAAUGGAGGAAACUCUGAUGCAGUGACACCGCGUAUAGGAAGAAGGUUUUCGGAUUGUAAACUAUUUUAGACAGGGAAGAAAAAAGACAGUACCUGUAGAAUAAGCACCGGCUAACUCCGUGCCAGCAGCCGCGGUAAUACGGAGGGUGCAAGCGUUACUCGGAAUCACUGGGCGUAAAGAGCGCGUAGGCGGGAUAGCAAGUCAGAUGUGAAAUCCUAUGGCUUAACCAUAGAACUGCAUUUGAAACUGUUAUUCUAGAGUAUGGGAGAGGUAGGUGGAAUUCUUGGUGUAGGGGUAAAAUCCGUAGAGAUCAAGAGGAAUACUCAUUGCGAAGGCGACCUGCUAGAACAUAACUGACGCUGAUGCGCGAAAGCGUGGGGAGCAAACAGGAUUAGAUACCCCUGUAAA
rnacentral:rRNA from 1 species